AUUGAACGCUGGCGGCAGGCCUAACACAUGCAGGUCGGACGGUAGCACAGAGAGCUUGCUCUCGGGUGACGAGUGGCGGACGGGUGAGUAAUGUCUGGGGAUCUGCCCGAUAGAGGGGGAUAACCACUGGAAACGGUGGCUAAUACCGCAUAACGGCGCAAGACCAAAGAGGGGGACCUUCGGGCCUCUCACUAUUGUAUGAACCCAGAUGGGAUUAGCUAGUAGGCGGGGUAACGGCCCACCUAGGCGACGAUCCCUAGCUGGUCUGAGAGGAUGAACAGCCACACUGGAACUGAGGCACGGUCCAGACUCCUACGGGAGGCAGCAGUGGGGAAUAUUGCACAAUGGGCGCAAGCCUGAUGCAGCCAUGCCGCGUGUAUGAAGAAGGCCUUCGGGUUGUAAAGUACUUUCAGCGGGGAGGAAGGCGAUGUGGUUAAUAACCGCAUUGAUUGACGUUACCCGCAGAAGAAGCACCGGCUAACUCCGUGCCAGCAGCCGCCGUAA
rnacentral:rRNA from 1 species